GUAAUUGAUCUAUUGUGGGACUUUGUAGCAUCUAUUUUUGGGUUCAUCAUCGUUCUCAGAGGAGGUGAUGAGCUGGAAGUGGAAGUGGAAGUGGAAGUGGAAGUGGAAGCGGGUGCGAGCAACCUCGGCCAGCAGCAGGAGAUGAGGCUGACGCUAGAGGAGCUUCUCAUAUUUUCUCGCCGAUUGCUUCCCCCUUCAUUUUUUUAAAUUGAAAAAUAGAUUAUAAUUUGAAAUAAAUAAAUUAAAAAAAAAAAAGCUUAUUACGGGAAGAGGGGGAGUAUUGAUCACCUCACAUAUCAUAUCCUUAUCCUUAUACUUCCUUAUCCUUAUACUAUAUAAGAACGAGUUUAGGACAAAGAAGGUUUUAGAUUUCAACUGCAAGAGUUAUCAAUAUCAUAUUAUACUACUAAUCAAGCCAUCAUAUCAAUAUCUAUACAAUAUAAAUUAGUGUUGGAGUUUGGAAUUAGUGUUGGAGUUAAUAUUUAUCGUCAUUAUAUAAAUUUGCAUUUUUACUCAUAUAAAAACUACUUUUACUUUAACUAUAUAUAACUGUCUAUGACUAUUUUUACUUUUAAUUAUUUAAGUAUAUGUUUUCAAUAUAACUACUGCUAAAUAUUAUAACUACUAAUAUAAAAUUAUUUUAUGAAAAAUAUUUAAAAGAUUAAAGUUUGCUUCAGUAAUAAAAAAUUUAUUUAAUGAGCAUAAAUAUUAGUAUGUAUUUUUUAUUGCACACACAUUGGGUGGGCAAUCAACACUAACAUAAAUCAAAGGUCCUUAUCGUAUUUAGGGCUUGAGUUUUGGUCUAAUUGUGAGAUUGACUUAAUCUUACCAAACUCAAACUCGAGCCCUCUAAUUGAGCUUAAAAAAAUAAUUGUUAUAUUUAUAAAAUAGACAUUUCAUCUUAAUAAAUAAUAAAAAUAUCGGGAACAUAUAAGUAAUUUCACUACUAAUAAAAAAAAUAAAUAUGUAAAGGUUCAUCGAACUAGCAAAUCAAACAUAGAGAGAUUCAACUUGUGUCACUAGGUUUGUCAAGCCAACUCCAAUUACUCAUCAAUCAUUUUCUUCAACUCCAAUUAUUGUAUAUGUAUGAAUUAUCUCCAAUUAUUAUAUUCUUAUGUGUGAUAAUUAAAGUUAACUAUAUUUUAUAUACAAAUUGGUUUGGAAGAAAUUCAAAAUUAAUAAGAAGACAAAAGGUUAUAAAAAGCUAAUGAGAAAGCAAACGAUUAAAUUAACGAUUAAAAUCACUAUAUUAUGUCAUAUUAACUAAGAAAACUUCAAAAAAAAUUAUCUAUAAUUAUAAAAAAUAUAAUAGAAAAGGUUUACAAUUACUGGAAUUAAUAAGAAUUUGUUGCAUCAAAGUCAGAAUGUUUUAGUAUGUAUUUUGCUCAGGUUUUGUUGUAUACACUGGUUUGACUAGAACUGUAAACGAACUGAAUUGAACCGAGUAUCUCAUGUUUGAGUUCUGUUCGUUAAGUGAUUCGAACAACGUUCGUGUUCGUUCGUUAAUUUUAGAGCUCCAAACCUAUGUUCGUGUUCGGCUCGUUAAGCAAAAUUUGUGUUCGAGUUCGAGUUCGUGUUCGGCUCGUUUAACAUAAACGAGCUGUUUGCGAACAUGUUUCAAAUACUCAAAUCCAAAUUAUUUUAAAUCUUAAAUAUGCCAUGCAAAUCAUUAAUCAUUUUCAAAAACAAUUAAAGCACUAAGUGACUAAAUUCUAUUAUCUAUUAACUAUAUAACUAACAUUAACAUAAAAACAACAAAUAAAACAAAAUAAUUUGUCCUCCAAAUAUAAAAGUCCAGUCAUAAAAUUAAUCCUAAAAUUUGUCAAAUGAUCGGGUUUGUUUGGAUUGUGAAUUAUUAGAGAUAUUUUUACUGUACCACUUUUUGUGAUGUAAUGUAUGUGAGAUAAAAAGGUAAUUGGAAAGAUAAAAAAGUGUGUUGAAAAUUGUAAUGAAGAUGUCAGCAAAUAUAUUUUAACAAAUAAACUGCAAUCCAAACAUAAUUAUGUUCAUGUUCACGAACGUUCGUUAAAACUCACGAACAUACUCGCGUUUGCGAACGUCGUUUAGCAUGUUCGCGAACGUUCGUUAAAACUCGCAAACAUGCUCGUGUUCACUCGAUUAUUAAUCGAACAAAAAAAUUCGUUCGAACUCGGUUCGUUUAAGGUUUCGAACGAGUCUUUCACGAACACGAACGAGUCGAAACGAACCAAGCUACCGAACAGCUCGAUUCGUUUAACAGCUCUAGGUUUGACACAAUAUAUUUUGUUUAUUAUAUAGUUUAUUAGUCAAUAUUAUACCAACAACUUAGGUUAAAUAUGAUAAUCUUCCAUUUUCAGAAUUUUUACAACUAUAGAAUGUACAAUAAACUUUUAAUUACUUUGCACACAAUAAACACUUUGUUCAACUACCAAUUGCUUAAUUUUGUUCAUUAUACAGUUUCUUAGCUUAUAUUACACCAAUAAUCAAGGUUUUACACAGAAAUUUAAUUUAUAUUAAAGAUUAAUAUUUUGAAAAAAUAUAUUCACGUGUGGGUUAUUACUAGUAAACCACACAGGGAACAAAGCAAUAGGGUCGGUUGAAAACAGCAAGAAAACUGGUAAUUCUAAAAGCAGCUCUGGAUUUUGCCUCAGUCUAGCUACUGGAUUCGGUUUUGCCUCAGUCUAGCUACUGGAUUCGGUUUUGCCUCAAUCUAGCAACUGGACGCGGAUCCAAAGCAAUGCUUCAGACAUCUCUGAUGAUGUUGGCAUUAUACUCUUCAGGAAUAGCUUUUGAUUUCUGCAUCUCCAGAGUAAGCAGGUUGUGGCAGCAACAACCACACUUUAACACACAGGAGACAAAAGUUAUUCCGAGCACAGUGAGUUACCUGCCAAUCAAUGCCCCAGACUACCCUUCAGCUUUCUUGCAAUUCAUACAUUUCCUUGGACACGAGUCCAAACAGCAGCUGAAAAAGGAAACAUGAAAAUGCAUGUUGCAGAACAUUUCUCCGCCCCCAAAUAACUUGCUGUACUUGUGAAAUAAUAUCCAUGUUACACAGCCUGCAUUGAUCAUGACAAGUUUAGAUUUAAAUGCUUGCAAAUUCAAUACCAAAACUACAGAUUUCCAUCAGCGAAGCAAAAGAAGCACUGGUAUGUAAAACUUCCAGUAUAACUGGAUAGAACUUUAUUUACUGCAUCCUUCUAUUUGGUUAUCUUUGAGAAGCCACUAGAUUCCUAACAUAAAGCAGUGUUACGCUUCCUAACUGAAAUGCUUCUUUAGGCAAAUGGAAGGGAAGACACUAGCCUAACCUAGUUUGGAAGUCUAUUAGAUAUACCAGAAAAUAAAAUAUAAAAAAUAAAAAUGAUAAAGAUAAAAACAAAUACUUGUCAGAUAGGUUGAAAUUAGUCCCCUUUUUCACUAGUUACAACCCUGCUUAAAUCUUGGGUUACAUCAUAAGUUAUAGUGACUUUUCAGUUUUAAGCUAAAGAUGUACCCUACCCAGGAUAAUUGGUAAUGAACUUCAUAAGGUAUCUAUACAUAAUCCAGAGGCCAUCCAACUAUCUACAUGUAUUAUUAGGUAUCAUAAGAAAAAGUUAUUAGGGGAGGAAUCUCAAACCAUCGAGUUAAUGGUAGCAGGUUGUGAAACUAGCAUUCAACAAAUGACAUUGCUGGUAUCCCCAGUUGUCUAAAGCCCCCCCCACCCUCCCCCACACACACACAAAAAUUUUUUAAGGUGAGGAAAGGAAGAAGGAAGAGCAAAUAAUUUUCAGAAAUUUGAGGCCAAGAGGAAAGGGAACCUCUGUAGGCUCCCUUGUGUACCUGCUGACUUCUAUAAGUGGAAGAUGAUCAUUAUCAGGCUUCUCUAUUACAUUUUGAACCUGCAAAUUAAGAAAGUAAUAUAUUAGGAAUGACUUAAAUAACUUAUCACUCUCAUUAGUCACGUAAAAGCAUCUUAAAUUAGUUUUGCCUGAUGCAUAAAGCAUAUGUUCACUUCCUCAGACAUAUAUGGCGUGUUCUCAUGUUUGAAUAAAUUUCGUCCCCAUUAUGUCAUUGGAGAAGUGCUGGAAUCCCCUCAGUGGAGGAACUGUAUUGAGCAAUUUGGCAAUCAAGUUAUCAACCAUGACAAUGAUCAAUAGAUAACCCAUGUUCUAUUCCUGACUUUUAAAGAUUAUAAACCCCAAGUCAGUCUAAGACCAGUAAAAUUGUAGCUUUAGCAUACAAUCAACCAUCAUGGGAUAGCUAAAUCAAGCCUGAAACUGACAAGUUGAAGCAAACUUAUUGACUUACAAACUAUUUAAAAGAGGUGCUUCAAUGCUGAAGCUGUACCCAGGAUACUCCAGCACAGAAAAAGCCAGAGUAAAUUCUCUAGUUUAUCUAGUACUAACAAAAGUUCCUUACAGAGAUUUUUCAGUGUCAAACUUUUGUACUUCCUGCAAUUUUGGACCAACUUUUCAUCCCAUAUUUCAAUGUAAUGAACCAGAUGAUAUGAGGUGAUGGUGGUCAUGAAGGUAAGGCCAUCAGGUGAUAAGAUGAAACAUAUGCAUGUAUUCUUUGUAGCUUUACAGAAAACAAGAGCCUUGACCCAGUGUAAUAACCAUGAAGGCGCACUCUACAUGUGUGCAACAACAACAAAAGUGAAAUCACCUUUUAAUGACCAAAUAUACUAAAUUAUGGCAAACUUUGGCUCAUACAAGGAUUUGCAACUGUUAAGAGAAUAUAAGUAUUCUUGUAGAUAAUAAAUUAGUAAGGGUAUUUUUGUAAAUAGUUUGUUAGGGUUGUACUCCUAUAAAUACUAGUUGGUCACUCAUAAUAUAGUGACUAGAUGUUUUCCUCCCAAGAUACUUGUUGACAUGGUAUCAGAGCAAAAGUCCUAGGGUUAGGGUUAAACAUCUAGCAAAAGUUUUGGUCAUCGCGACUGUUCACGCGAUACUGUUCACCGCGACUGUUCACGCGGGAGCACUGUUCAUCGGGGGUACUGUUCACGGCACUGUUCACAGCACUGUUCAUGCGACACUGUUCACGGCACUGUUCACGCUGCUGUUCAUCUCGAGUUUUGACCCUUCGUUUGGUUUGGAGUGCUUUCGCUAUGGCUGAAAGUCUAUCAAAAGGUAUUGUGACGUCUACUAAUAUUAUGCCAAUGGUGAUGCCUCAAAUCACAAAUUGGAAGUUGAAUGACACUAAUUAUCAACAGUGGUCAAAAGUCGUUAAGAUUUAUCUGACAGGCUUAGGAAAGCAACGAUAUCUCACAGGUGACUCUCCUACGGAGGACAACAAGAAACUAGUGUGGAUUCAAGAUGAUGCCCAAAUUCUUGGAGCAAUAUGGAAUUCUAUGGAGCCACGAAUUGCUUACAUGUGUUCUCAUUGUGAGACAACAAAAGAAGUUUGAGAUUAUGUCCGGUUAUUAUACUGUAGUAAUCUUUCACGGAUGUAUGAUAUUUCUUUGGAGUAUUUUCAGUUGCAACAAGAUAACAAGACAGUAACUGAAUACUUUGCUGAUCUGAAGCGAGUUUCAGAAGAAUUAAAUGCCGUAAUGUCUCUCUCAAGUGAUAUUACAGUUAUGCAGAGGCAAAGAGAACAAAUGCUUGUGCUCAAAUUCUUGGCCGGUCUCAAAUCAGAAUUUGAACCAAUCAAAUCUCAAAUUUUAGCAGGUGAACAAUUACCAUCCUUUGCAGAGGCAUAUGCUCGGGUCUUACGUUCUGCAUCUAAGGACAAAGCACAGGGUGAUGGUGCUCUAAUUAAUGACAAAUCUGCGUUAGUUGCUAACAAUGGUCGGAUAGAGCAACUUAACUUGGGACGUGGCUCUCGUGGAGGAAGAAGUAGAGGAGGUCGUGGGGGUCGUGGAGGUCGAGGCACCCGUGAGUGCACUCAUUGUGGUUUGAAGAAUCACACUCAUGAUACUUGUUGGGAUUUACAUGGAAAACCAACCGCGCUCAUUGUGGUUUGAAGAAUCACACUCAUGAUACUUGUUGGGAUUUACAUGGAAAACCACCUCGAUUUGCUAAUGCGGUUACCAUUGACCAAGCUGAAUCAAGUUCUUCAGCACAAGGGUCCCAGAAAACUGUUACCAUAUCCGAGGAAGAUUAUGUCAAAUUUCUGCAGUACCAAACUGCAAAUCCCGCAUCUCUUCCCUCUGCUUCUUUAGCACAAAAAGGUAAUGCUAUGGCUUGUCUCUCCACUUCCAAAAAUUUUGACUCAUGGAUCAUUGAUUCCGGAGCUACUGAUCAUAUGUCAGGUACCUCUAGAAAUUUUUCUAAUUUUCAAGAGUCUACUUCCUUCUCUCAUGUUACUUUAGCUGAUGGAUCUACAACUAAAGUUAAAGGAUUAGGCACUGUAGAAAUUAACCCAUCUCUUCCGCUGCCUUCUGUUCUUUACGUACCAAAUUUGCCUUUUAAUCUAAUGUCCGUUAGUAAGCUUACCAAAUUUCUACAGUGUUCAGUUAUUUUUUCUCCUGAUUUUGUUGUUAUUCAGGAUUCGAAGACAAAGAGGACGUUUGGUGGAGGGCGCGAGCAUAAUGGUCUUUAUUUUCUCAACUCUAAUGGUCCGAUUGCGUGUCCUGCUACUGUUUCUCCUCUUGAAAUUCACUGUCGUUUGGGUCAUCCGUCUCUACAAAAUUUGAAGAAGUUGGUUCCUACCUUGAGUCAGUUGUUUUCAUUAGAAUGUGAGUCUUGUCAAUUAGGAAAGCAUCAUCGUGUUUCUUUUGCCCCUAGGGUCAAUAAACGGGUUUCGGAACCCUUUUUGUUAGUUCAUUCUGAUGUUUGGGGUUCUAGUCGAGUCACUUCAAAGUUAGGUUUUAAAUAUUUUGUAAUCUUUAUUAAUGAUUUUUCAAGAGUUACAUGGCUUUAUUUAAUGAAAGAUCGUUCAAAACUAUAUUUCAUUUUUUGUGCAUUUGUUACAGAAAUAAAGAAUCAAUUUGGUGUAUCUGUACGUAUACUUCGCAGUGAUAAUGCGAAAGAAUAUUUUUCCAUUCCUUUUAAUACCUUCAUGACUAAGUCCGGUAUUAUUCAUCAGUUCUCUUGUCCUCACACUCCACAACAGAAUGGAGUUGCUGGAAGAAAGAUUGGACACUUAAUCGAGGUUGCUCGGACACUUAUGUUGCACAUGAAUGUGCCCAAACAAUUUUGGAGUGAUGCAGUUCCAACUGCAUGUUAUUUAAUUAAUCGCAUGCCAUCUACUAUUCUUGGAGGCCAAUUACCUCACUCCAUUCUUUUUCCUCAUGAACCUGUGUUUAAAUUACCUCCUCGUAUUUUUGGAUGUGUGUGCUUUGUUCAUCAGCUUGCUCUCGGGGUGGAUAAAUUAGAUUCUCGUGCUAUUAAGUGUAUUUUCUUAGAAUACGCAUGAGCGCAAAAAGGGUAUAGAUGUUACAGUCCAGUUUUAAAUCGAUUUUUUACUUGUGCUGAUGUUUUUUUCUUUGAAUCCACUCCAUAUUUUAUCAAACAAAGUAUGUCUUGUGAGUUAGACCAGUGUCACUCUUUUUCCUCUCCUGUUUUACCAGUCCCUUCCCCUUUAUUACCUGAAUUAUCUAAUCCACCAGAUUCCAUAGCUCGAUUAUCUCGUCCUCAUCUUCAAGUUUACUCUCGUCGUCCCAUGGUUGAGAAAGUUCCUGAUAUGCCACGCACUUCACCAAUUAACUCUCACUCUUCAAAUCGAGGUAUGACGUCCUCCUCUGAGUUAGAUCUUCCUAUUGCUUUACGCAAAGGUAAGAGACAUUGUACUUCCCAUCUUAUUUCUAAUUUUGUUUCUUAUUCUCAUCUCUCUAUGUCAUAUUCUUCUUUUGUUGCUUCCCUUGAUUCUAUCUCCAUUCCUAAGUCUAUUACCUAUGCUCUUACUCAUCCUGGUUGGAGAUUAGCCAUGCAAGAAGAGAUGUCUGCUUUGGAACAAAAUGGUACUUGGGAUCUUGUCCCUCGUCUUUCAGGUAAGCCUGUUGUUGGUUGUAAAUGGGUGUACACUAUAAAAGUGCAGUCUAAUGAUUCUAUUGAUAGAUUAAAGGCUCGUCUGGUAGUUAGAGGAUUUACUCAAGUGUAUGGAGUGGACUACUUAGAAACAUUUUCUCCUGUUGCAAAAAUUACCUCUGUUCGUCUUCUUAUCUCUUUGGCAGCCACUUAUAAUUGGUCAUUGCAUCAAUUGGAUGUGAAAAAUACAUUUCUGUAUGGAGAUUUGGAAGAAGAGGUAUAUAUGGAACAACCUUCUGGAUUUGUUGUUCAGGGGGGAGAAUCCGCGGUUGGUUUGUCGUUUGAAAAAAUCCUUAUAUGGAUUGAAACAGUCUCCGAGAGCUUGAUUUGGCCGGUUUAGUAGUGUUAUCAUGGAGUUCGGUCUGACAAGAUGUGGAGUAGAUCAUCUGUAUUUUAUCGGCAUUCUAAUGCUGGUAAAAUUUUAUUAGUUGUUUAUGUGGAUGACAUUGUGAUUACAGGUGAUGAUGUUGUGGGGAUCCAGAAGCUUAAAUCCAAUCUGCAGGCAAACUUUCAGACAAAGGAUUUAGGUCAUCUACAGUAUUUUCUGGGUAUUGAGGUAGUUCGGUCUAAAUAUGAAAUUUAUUUAUGUCAAAGGAAAUAUGUACUCGAUAUGUUGAGUGAAGUUGGGAUGUUAGGUUGCCGACCUGUGGAUACUCCUAUGGAUCCCAAUGUGAAAUUAGCAGGAGAUCAAGGUGUAUUACUUGAUGAUCCUAAGCAAUAUCGAAGACUUGUGGGUAAAUUAAAUUAUCUCACUGUAACGAGACCUGACAUUUCGUUUGCAGUGAGUGUUGUGAGUCAAUUUCUUGAUACCCCUCGUACUAGUCAUUGGAUGCUGUUAUACGGAUUCUCAGGUAUCUUAAGAGUGCUCCUGGAAAAGGGUUGCUGUAUCAAAAUCAUGGACACACUGAUAUUGAAGGAUAUAGUGAUGCAGAUUGGGCUGGUUCUGCCUCAGAUCGAAAAUCGACUACAGGAUAUUGUGUGUUUGUUGGUGGUAAUUUAGUGUCGUGGAAGAGUAAGAAGCAAACAGUUGUAUCCAGAUCAAGUGUAGAAUCUGAAUACCGCGCUAUGGCUCACACUGUGUGUGAGUUGGUUUGGUUGAAGAGCAUGUUAUUUGAACUUGGGUUUGAACAUAAACAGCCUAUGAAUUUAGUGUGUGAUAAUCAGGCGGCUGUUCAUAUUGCGUCUAAUCCAGUGUUUCAUGAAAGGACAAAACAUAUUGAAGUUGAUUGUCAUUUCAUUCGAGAGAAAUUGUUUGACGAGGUCAUCAAGACAUCUCAUGUACCGUCUAUAGAUCAAUUGGCUGAUGUGUUUACCAAGAGUUUAGGGGGCUCUAGGGUGAAAGACCUUUGUAACAAGUUGGGUGCUUAUGAUAUAUAUGCUCCAACUUGAGGGGGAGUGUUAAGAGAAUAUAAGUAUUCUUGUAAAUAAUAAAUUAGUAAGGGUAUUUUUGUAAAUAGUUUGUUAGGGUUGUACUCCUAUACAUACUAGUUGGUCACUCAUAAUAUAGUGACUAGAUGUUUUCCUCCCAAGAUACUUGUUGACAGCAACCUAUAUCAUGGCUUCCUUUUUUCCAUUUUUGACAUCCCAGUACAUCGUAUUUGUAGGAGAAAAUUUGUAUAACAUGUAGCGCUUCUUCCUAAAAAUCACAAAUGAGAAAAUUCAAGAGAGAUCAUAAAGGUGAGACAAAAAACAUUUUUGCCUGUUGUCUCACAUUGUGGCGAUUCUACCAACUUCAAAGACAACCAAUUGCAAGUAAAAGAAUAAAUUUUUUUAUUAAAAAAAAAAGGAGAGAUGAGCAAAAGCAGAAGGAUAGAGAAGAAACACAGAUACCGAAAAGAAAAUACUAAUUAAGCAAAGACAGUAACUCUUACUUUAGCCAAUAACUCCUGACUCUCAGGAGGUUGCUUUUUCAAACUUUGAGGCAAUAUAACAGUGAGAAGCUCUGGUUUUUCAGCACGAAGAGCACCUCUAAUAACAGCAGCAUUAGUUCCAGAUGCUCCAGAUGUGAAAAUAUGGUUCUUCUGGAAAUAGAAACAGAAGAGUAUACUAAUUACACCAUACUCAUUCUAGCUGAAAGGACAAAAGGAAUGACCAACUCAACAGCCUGAAAUAGUCGACUAUCAUUUCAUGAAUUGGUUCAAGCUACAGAAUACCGUUAUGACCAAAGCAUAGCUGAGAAUUUCAAUAAGUUCCUGAUGCAUGAAUCCCAUAUUUCUUGUCCCAAAGAACCCAAUAGCCCUUGGGCCUUGUUGUUGAAUUGCUAGUAACUCCUAAGAACACAAAAGAAUAUUCACAUAAGUUGUUGUGAAUCUACAAAAGCAUUGAAGAUGUUAAGACAUUCAUAUCAACCUUCCAACACAAUCUAAAACCUGAAGACUCGACAAACCCGCCAGAAGUUCAAUGAUACCAAGAGGAAAUGAGUAAUUAGUUAUAAUCAAGUUUGUCUCUUUAUCUUUCUGAUUUAUUUUCUGCUCACUAAGGUGAAUACUUAAAGUUGAAGCAAAAGGGCCUUUACCCAAGUAAUGAUUACUUGAAGUUGAAUACUCAAAGUUGAAGCAAGAGGGCCUUUAUCAAACUAGUGAAAGAAACUCUCUUAUGUAGCCUUUCGAAAGGUACUUCUAUUGUGAGGAUUUGCAACUUACAAACAAAUGGAAAUUUUGAAAACCUAAACACUGAAAGUGUAAAUGCUUUGCCAAUAGUUUAUAUUGACAUCCUAUCUAACCAAUUCUUCUGUUGAAAUGAGUCAAGUAAAUUUAUCCACACAUAGGCAUGAAAACUAUCUAAGGUCAUUCUGCAUGCUCUCUUGCCUAAAGUAUGGCAUGCUUGAAAGAUUACAAUGCAAAACGGUGAUCCCAUUAGAGGUACAUGGAAAGUAAGUAACAAAAAAUUGUUGAUACUGUUUAAGUGGUGUAAAGAAAAAUUGUGGUCAAAACUUCUUGCCAUCUGAACCUCAGUUUGCACAUUAAAUAUACUAAACCUGUAUGUAGUCCACAUCAGGGGCAGGCUUGUACUCAGACAGCAGAACUGCUCCUGACCCUUCAACAAUAGAUUGGGCUUGAGUUGGAAUCUGAGUUUUGACCUCUUCAUCAGAACCAUACAUUUGCACCCGAUGAUCAUCUUCAUCUCUCACGCCCUCAGAACCUUGAUGUCUUUUCUCAUAUCCAUAAAGCCACUAUAUCAGCACAUAUAAAAGAGAGUUCCCUGGUAGUAAAUCAUUAGUGAAAACCAACUGAUGCGUGUAAAGAAAUAAGAGAAGCUCAAGCUUGCAAGAAUAGCAUUUCUAAUGAGAAAUUCUCAGUUUUCAAAAGCAAAGUUGUUUGAGAAAACUUGUUAAAACCACUAAACUACAAAGAAAAUUAAUGCGUUCUACACCCAAGCACCCUCAGCAAAGUGCAUUUGUCAUGUAAGACCAAUAAUCGGUCACAAUGUAAAGUUAGUCAUUCCAUUCUAGUUGCUAUUAAACCAUGGAUCAAGUAUGCCAUCAUGACAUAACAUAAGUUUGCAGCAACUGGCUCAAAUAUCCUUACCAGGAAUAGAAAACAAAAUCUCUCUUUUCAAACAGCCAACGGGAUACUUGCAACUCCGGCACAAACUGCACUUAUACCUAAUAGUCUGACAGAUAACUAUCUAACAGCCUAAAUUUUUUUCCCCAUUUUGUAAAUAUAUUUCGGCUUACCUGAGUUUCUCUAAGGGGAUGUGGUCUAAGCUCAAGGCAAAGAGGGCAGCCCGGGUGUACCACAACCCGAGUAGGCACCUUGAAAAUCCCCACUCCACCCCCACUCCCCAUAAACUCCGGCAAUGGUUGGUAGUUCUGCGGCGGAUGCUGAUGCUGAUAUUGUACGUAUUCCUCAGAGCCACCACCAUCCCCCAUUGACAAUCCAUCAAUCCUAUGAUUAAUAUUAUAGUCCGCGUUACAAGAAGCAGAGCCAACAGUGGUGGAAUAGGGGUAGAAAUCAUCAUCAUCAUCAUCAGAUGAAUUCUCCAAGAAAUAGCUGUAACUAUUACUGCUGGCAAUGCCGAUGGUUUUAGCAUCAUCUAAGCUGUGUUUUCGCACUUGGCGAUGUUUCUUGUGAUGUGAUCCUGUGCUUGUACGCAGUUGUUGGCUAUAUGAUUAAGUUUUUUCGGGCACAGGCGGGAAGUUUGAUAAUCCUGCCAAUGCAUCCCUGUCGUCGUCCUCCAAGCCACGGUCGUCCAUUUUGUUUCCUUUCUCAAAUUAUGGAUACAACAUCUGAGAAUGAUUGCUAGUGUUCUUGCAGGGAUGAGAUGAUCAAAAUCCAAGAGAAAAGGCUUGAAAACUUGCGGAGAGAGAGAGAGAGAGAGAGAGUGGAGGAGAAAAUGUCAACAAGUUUGGAAGUGGGGAUAGGAAAGAUGGCAUGGGAGUGCGAGGAUUGACGCGGGGCAUUCUGGUUUCAUACGGACGAGAACGUCAAACGUUGUUGUUUCUGUUCUUAUAUUUUUGGCUCCCAUUCCCAGGUUGAGUUGUAAAGUUUCAUGGUCGUGGGGACUUCCAUUCCAUUUUUCUCUUUGUCGAGCCCUUUCACUUUAACUCUGGGAUGGAUCGUGCCUAAUGAGCCGGGCAUUUAUAAGUUCGAGUUCAACUUAUUUAAUUUGUAACAUCUUCGGAAUUCGGAUUUUGGAUUAUGAGUUUCAAAUUAAUAAAUAUGAAGUCAUAUCCAACUCACAUAAUAUUCGAAUUUAGUUCAAAUUCACUUAUUACUCCUUAAUUUUCUUAAUAUAAUUACUAUAACUAUUAAGUUGUACAACUAUACAAGACUACAACAUUAAAACUAAAUAUGAAUAAGUAAUAGUUUUUAAAAAGCAUAUAAAUCAAAAAAUUUUCAACAAUAUUUAAAUCUAAUUCAUUCAAAAAAACAUGAAAAAUAGUAAUAAAACAUGUGGUCAUAAAUCAAUAUAUUUUUAAAGGUUGGAACUUCUUUAUAACCUUGUGAUUUGAAUCCAAAUAUGCUUGAUGAUUUGUGUUUUUAGAUCAAAAAUAAAUCAACCGAUAUUAUACCAACACAAAAAUUUACUCAACUAAUAAAAAAAGUUAAUAUUCAUUUACGUAUUACUGAUAUUGGCUCUCAAGAAAGCUAGUAGAAGAACUUUCAGAUAUAUUUUAAUUAUAUUUAGCAUUUAAUAAAACAUUUGGAUGUAAAAUUAUACAUAAUAUCAAAAUAUAAAUAUUAUAUAUAUAUGUAAGUAAUUAAAGGACCGGACCUAUAUCGAGUUUGAGACUAAUAAGGCCCAAACUCGACUCAUAUUUAAUUUGAGCCGGACUCAUAUUUAAUAGGUCGGCUCAUCAAGCUUUUUCUCGAGCCAAGCAAGCCGAGUAUGGACUAGCCCGACCCCAUUGACAGUCCCACUUUGGGAUCGAUCAAGCCCUAAUAUAUACUAAUGGUGAAUUCAUUCAUAAAUACUGCAAUUCUUUGACAUAAUAAUAAUAAUAAAAAAAAAAUUAAUAAUACACGUCUAAUAGAUUUGAUUGUAUAUAUAAACAACAAAGUGGUGUACAACCGUGGAAGCCCACCGUACAAGUAGACACAUUUGCAGAAACCAUAAGACCAGCUACCAAGUGGAAAUAUGAUCAAUUCUUGUUCAUUUUCACCAAUUUUUUUCAUUAUUCGAGUUGAAUUAAUUUGCUCCAAAUAUUUAUUUUUUAGUUGUAGGAAAAAAAAAAAAAAAGAGGAAAAACCAUAUGAGUAGAUAGAGCUUUCUCCCAAGCUAAUUAAACCAAGUUUUAUACGUGAUUCAACUAAGAUCAAGAAUGUCUAUCUCCUGUAUGUAGCUAAAGCACAUAGAAGGAUAAAUUACAAUGAGUACACACAAAAGAAGCAGCUCAAACUCAGACUUGUACAAGUUUGUCCAGACUAGCAUGAAACAACAAAGAGACUUAGAUUGAACAGAGUUUCAAUCUGGGAAGCAAUUCAACAAACCUAAAUCAUGGAGUAUUACAGUUUUGAUUCUUGACUGGAUGGCAUUACCAAAGCUUAUGGAAAUUAGAAGAUGGUAGACCAGAACAUCCUGUAUAGUCAGUCUUCCAACCAUCUCAGAGAAAUAUAGAGUGCGCAGGGAGUAUGAUAUUUUCUCUUUCUUCAUUUCUUCCCCUCGGUUUCUUUUGCGUUCUUGGCAAGUACAAGGACAAAACCAGCUUACAUCAAGAAUGCCAAGAAGGCAAUUUUAAAAAUCCUUCCCAUUGCAUUAGUCGAUGGAUCAAAUCUAUACGCUAAACAAUUAAACAACUAAUCAGACCACCUCGACUUAUCUGGUGAAAUGACAUCACAAAGUUGAUAGACAGAUUGAUCUUUUCCACCUAGCAAGCUUCUCUCGUCCCUGCCAAGGAAUUAAAGAGUGCAAUUACUAUCAAAGGUCUUUGCCAUGUAUCAAGGUUAAUGGUGAUUAAACAGCCAAAACCAUAAUAAAUGGACCACCAUAUCCAAAGCUCAAGUACAGCGUAAGAAGAAACGCAUAUAAGCCAAAGAGAUACUUUCAGCUUUUGGUGGGGAGGACUUCUAACAUUACUACAAUAAACAUAAACUGGACAUCAUCAAUUACAUUUCUUGUACCAAUGAGAGCCAUCUAUUGGGCAAUAUCAGAUAUCGAUUAAUUCAAAUUAUCUCCAAAAGUUUUUUUUUUUUUUAACAGGAUUCUACCGGCUGUGAAAGGAAUCAGACAAUUAACAAAAGGCAGAUAAUAGCAAUAGAUGGUUUCUCCGUUUUGGAUCUCAGAUAUUCAGAUCAGAAUGUCCUAAUGUAACAGUGUUUAUUCAUAUGCAAUAGCCAAGUUCAUUUUCAAUGGGAUUUCCAUCAAAUGAACCAAGACCAAAACUAACAUGACAAAUCUUACCAUGCGAGGUGAAACAACCAGUUCAUUUUCCACGAUAGAGGUAGCCUCGAACCCCAAUGGGUGCAGCACUUCUUCAUAACUGCAUCCACAGAUUUGUCAUCAGUUGCAUGCAGAACCAAAAAAUGAAUGUAAAUAAAAAAGUGAGUGCUUCUCCAUAUGUCAAUCUUUAAAAAGAAUAAAUAGAUUCUCACAAGAGACGACAAGAUUGUUCUGAUUAUGAUAACUAAAAUUGGCACAUACUCAGUAGUAGAUACUUUGUAUGGAGGUCCCCCUUCAUGAUCACUAAUCUGUUGAAAGAGAAGAUAAAUAUAAUGAGAAUCUAAAAAAUUCAAGAACAACUAUUCAAAAAGCAAUGUUGACCAGAUUUAGUAGGAUAAAGCACAGAAUUUACUCUAAAAUAACAUUGUGCAAAUAAGAUGUUGCUAACCUUCCUAUCAGACAUGUUAGGCAUAUGAAACUAGAAGAUAACACACAAGCAAGAAUUCCAGUCAAUUGUCUAACCCACAUUCAACAAUAGAUCUAUCAACACAUAUAUUAUACUCUUACAAUAAUCGCACUACACAAAUUCCAGAUGCUAACAUGGUGAAAUCAUUUUCAGAGUAAAACACUGAGAAAGGCAAUUUGACGAGAUGAUAGCAUACUGGAAACAUCAGAGUUAUGAGCUCUCCAUCUGGUUUUAAAAGGUCUCGAAUUCCAACAGCCCAAGAUGGUCUCAUAUCUGGAUCGAUGGCACAAAAGAAUCUGCAAGCGAAUUCGUGCAAUAGUUAGCAAGCAAAAAUUUCUUCUCACAUGACAAUCAACUGAUGGUCAUCUAAUACUCACGUGUAGUCAAAAAUGAGAUCAAACAACUGAGUGGGACGCCAUGUGAAGAAGUCUGCCUUCAAGAAUUCAAAGUGUUCUUGGCUUGAUAAUGAGGACAACUGCCUUGAUGUGCCGCGUAAGCAAACAUUUCCACAACAGUAUGAGAAAAUGGAUAAUAAUAUGUAUAAAGUACUUAGAACAUGUUUUUCAUUCAGAAAAAAUCAAGUCUGAGAACUCGAAUCAAGGAAUCCUAGCAUUCCGUAUCCAAGGCAGUUGUUCCUCCAAGAAUAAAGAGGAUAAUUAUGGCAAGAGCCUAGAGUUUUAACGUUUCUGAACAAAUGUAUCAUAGUAAAUGACUCAAGAUGAGAACUAAUAACAUUUAACACAUGUUAUGUGCAUUUAGUGACCAACAUUUAGCCAAUGCCCCUUGAUGCCUUAGCACUUCCUCAUUGACCAGCUAGAAAGUUGCCCAAACUUUUCAUAAAUGAAAAUACACUUCAGUGUGAGGGGACAAAAACGGCAUUCGGAAAAUAAGUAGUUACCUCUUUGGCUCUUUCAAGAGCUACUUCUGAUAUAUCCAGGCCAACAACAUAGCGAUCAGGGCAGGCAAUUGCCACGACGUCAUAGCCCUGCAGCAGACAAAAGCCCAUUGAUAAGUCAAGGAGAAAAGAAAGAAGAACAGAAAGGAACGACUUUGGACUCACAACCAGUAUAGAAUUAAAACUAAGCUGCAGAACACCUACGCCAACUUUUGUACCACCCAAAACAGAAAAUGUGAAAAAAAAAAGAAUAAAUUUUAUGUGGAUUUCCAAGAUGAUCUCCACCAUUCCUUAGUACAGACUCUUGAUUACAAAUGUCAACUGGGUGAAUUUACUAAAAGCAAGCAAACAUGCAGCAUAAAAAUGAAACCUGCAGUAUGGUGAAGUCAAAAGAACCUUGAUUUCUUUUCUUCCUAUAGUCACUGCCAUGUUCAAAAACCUGGAUCACCUAAUCCCCAUAGCACAAGGGUACCAUGGUGCUGUAGUGCAUGGGAUGAAGCGCACUUCAUUGAGCGGAUUGCAUUUAAUGCAUAAAAUCUGAAAUUUUCCUCUACAUAGCUAUUCUGCAAUAAAAGCACUUAACUAAUCUACCAAUGUUCUCAGCAUGAUAGCAAACCAAAGAAGACAGAGUGACAGUAAACUUGUAGCUACUCGUUCAAUAAAUAUUGUGUUCACAACGCACCUGAAGCAGUAAACUUGUAGCUACCUGGCAAUAGUGCAUGGACCCAAAAGCAACCAUAUUGCAGUGAUUUAUACAAUCAUGAAAUCUUGAACAAAAGUUAACCAAGGCAGGCAAUUUACAGCCAUGAACCCAAACGUACAACAAUUGAAUCCAACAAGCAUGUGCUACACUUCUAAGCAUCAGUUCCAAUCCAUAAACCCAAUUGCAGAAAUCCCAGAUACGCAAAAGAGGAAAAAUUAGAACUUUAAACUAGUAGGAUAAUACUCACACUACCACAACCAGGGACCAAAGCCCUGCCAUUAGGAAGGGCACCAGUCUUAUGAAGAUGGACAAGAAUUGGGGUAGGCUGCCCCAAGUCCCAUGGUGUCAACCCUUGUUCCCAGCACUUUUGCCAACCAUCUACCCACUCUCCAAGAAAACCCAAUAUUUAAAAAAAAAAACAGAAAUCUUGAAUCAGCAUUAUGAUCAGGAAUUAUUAAGUCCAAAGAUGAUUGGUCUUGAUGAAAAUAAUUACCUGUCGAGCUAGAAUGGAUGACUUGUUGGAAUUUAUCAACUGUAGUAGAACUAGAUGAUGAUGAUGAAAGAAGAGUUGAACUUGUGCUAGUAAUUGAUCUAUUGUGGGACUUUGUAGCAUCUAUUUUUGGGUUCAUCAUCGUUCUCAGAGGAGGUGAUGAGCUGGAAGUGGAAGUGGAAGUGGAAGUGGAAGUGGAAGCGGGUGCGAGCAACCUCGGCCAGCAGCAGGAGAUGAGGCUGACGCUAGAGGAGCUUCUCAUAUUUUCUCGCCGAUUGCUUCCCC
rnacentral:lncRNA from 1 species